rnacentral:misc_RNA from 1 species
AGAUUUUGAUAGAUGAAAGAUAGGUAAUGCAUUCAACGAUUCAAAUAAUGCAAGAAAAGCAGUCGCCACAAAUCAAAAGAAAACUGCCAAAAUUCCUUUGUACUAAAAUUGAUCCAAAACCUAUAUGUACUAAAAUUGAUGUAUAACAGGCACUAGAAUGGAAAUACAACAUUCCAAAAAAAAAUCAAUGACAUGUAUUCCCAAUUACAAAAAUCUAACAAAGAUAAAGAGGAAGGAAUAUACACUCUUGAUUUUUAUUUAUUUAUUAUUUUUUUUAUAAGUUCCUCCAGGCAUUGCCAUUCUGCAGCACUUCAGUCAUUUGAUCUCUCAACCCGUCAACAAUGCCAGGUGACAGAGGCUGGCACCGCAUUGACAAAGAUAACUCUGUUCUCCAGCUGCAAUUUGUGCUACUAUCUGUCUGGAAUUGUCCAGGCCAAUGUUAGUUACAAGGGUAAUAAACUCGGCCAAUAGAGCAAAACUGCCACUACAAUAGAGGCUGCACCAGCAAUAAGCUGCACUGGAACCACACCUGAGGAUGAUGCGCUGCUUGCAUGUUUGCUUGAUAUGUACAUCAUAGUCUUAUUCACCAGGGGAAGCGUCGCUCCAUCCUUUCGUCUACCCAGCAAUUUCUGGCUGCAAUUUCCAUAACAAAAAAAAAUAAAUCAUUAAUCCAGGAAAGCAAUAACGUGCCUAACAUUUUUCAAUGCAGCAAAGCUUGCACAUAAGCAUGAGCUCAAUACUUGCACAAACAUUACAUUGUUUUCAACUUAUGAAUUUAAUCACACGCUAACUUAAACUAUGGGGCAAAAAUAUUACUAUCCAUUAGCAAUGGCUCAGUAAACUGAUUGCAGGGCUAGAAGUUCCAACCCAAAAAGAGCGCUGGCAAACCAUUUCAAAUAACUUGAAAAACCAAUCUUUUUAACUAUGCUUUACAUUUGAUUAAGACCCAUUCAUGAAUUUAACUUGGACUAUAAUUUGACUAUCAUCUUGACGCCCAUACUAGCAAAAGCAGCAAGUCAUCUAAACAUUUCCUAAAGCAAUAUCUAUGAUAUCAACAACAAAAGAUGCGACGCACACUAGCUAGAUUUUAAUUUGAACGAGUUCUAGCCAUUAAAAUUAAUACAUGAAAAAGAAGAGAGUGCUAAAUGUCAGGAUUUCUGGUGCAUUUAAUACAAGCCAACCAUUAAAUAAAAAUAUUUAUAUUAAGAUAUGUAUAGAAUUAAUUAAAAUAUGUACAUUAAGAGAAUGAAUUUAUAUGUAAAUCUAACAGAGAAGCUCUCAAGUUUAUAAUAGCCUCACCUUGGAAAAAUGCUUGAGCAUGGUAAGUAUGUCCGCAUUGAAUUAUUAUUCUAUAUUGGCAGAUUUGUGUAGCAUCAUUAUUUAUGGUUACUUGAAGAGUGUCACCUUUCGAUUAUUUAUUUUGCUACUAAUCUAUCAAUAUCACACCUCAAUUAUUCUCUACUUCAGCAUCACCCGAAAUUUCUGGACGCUGCCAGCAUGUCAAUUCUGUUUACUGCUAAAAAUACUAAAUUACCCUCCCACAUUUCUGCAAUAUGAACAGAAAAAGAGAUGCACCUCUUGAGGUUAAUUAGUAAUUUUACCUGGAAUACGGUGGCGGGCAAAACAUUAUAACAUAAUCGGUGUUGGCACAAGUGUACGUACUGGUCUUGUCAUCGUACGCGUAGCUAUAUGCGCGUGGGCAAGCGUGUUUGAAAAACUGUGAAUAAACAGACGGCGAGCACGUGUCAGGCGUAGAAUAGGCCUCACUGCAACAAAACUGCGGUUGCCCAAAUGCCUCGCACGCGCUCCUACAAGCGAUUCCAACUUGCCCAUUCUCACGCGCUGCCAAUUUCAACUCCUUCGGGCACGCGCCGUUUAGGUCUAUCAAACACCCCGUGGCACCGCAGAGGCCGUUUGUGGUUUUCUUGGGGAUCAAGAGCAUAGGGAGGUUGUAGCCGUCGACUAAGCUGACGUCAUAAAAAUCCAAGCCCCCGGCGCCGUUAAGCGUGAACUCUGCUAAAGUGGCAGGAGGAAUAGCCCCGCUGCCGCCACAUUCUAGUUUCCCUGACCCACAAUCACCAGUUUGACAAGAAAACUUACCAGAGGAAUCUUGGGCACAGGUAGUCCGACCCCAUAUCCGACCUGACCACGAUCUGGGUAUGUUUAUGGUUUUUGAUUUGCCGCUAUUAAGUGCAAAGCCCGUGGUGGGAAGCUGUGCGGUGCCGGCGCCGGAUAGCAAGCCAGGCCACACCGUGUAGCGGCACUUGUUGAUGAGCUUGAAAGAUGCUGGUUCAACAUCUGCGAGAAUUGGAAUGAAAAAGAAGAAGAAAUAAUCAAUUUUAAUGAAAUCGCAAGGUGUUUAUAAACCGUAGUGAUGAGUAUUUACUGUACCUGAGAGAGAAGAAAGCGAGAGGAGAAUAAGAAAGGUGGCAGAGAAAGAAAAAAGACGACCCAUUAUUGAUGAAGAGAAAUGAGAAAGAUGAAUUGAAUUGAAUGAGGAGAAGUUAGCGUUGAGAGUGAACAAAGAACUUUACUUUUCUUGUUAAGAGGGAAGCCAGUUGGGGAUAUCUGCUUUUCCCUGUUUGGACUUUGGUUCGUAAAUCAAAGACUUGGUUCAAUUUUACUAAAAUAGUCUUAAGAUUGAAAGAUUAGAGUUCAAACCCAGCCAAAACCCAACAAAAAUCACAAAAUCAACCCAGUAAAAACUAAUCAUACAAAUACUUGGUGGGAAGCAACCCAUGAAAGUGAGUAUUUUACCUUGACGAGGACGGCCAAAACGUCACCGUAUAAUGUCAUACCCGUGGCUCUACGAUCUAGGACAUGCAGCCUUA